AUGGACGGCGCUCCGGUGGCCGAGUUCCGGCCGACGAUGACGCACGGCGGCCGCUUCCUCCUCUACAACAUAUUCGGCAACCAGUUCGAGAUCACGGCCAAGUACCAGCCGCCGAUCAUGCCCAUCGGCCGCGGCGCCUACGGGAUCGUCUGCUCGGUGAUGAACUUCGAGACGAGGGAGAUGGUGGCAAUCAAGAAGAUCGCAAACGCUUUCGACAACAACAUGGACGCCAAGCGCACGCUCCGGGAGAUCAAGCUCCUGAGGCACCUCGACCACGAGAACAUAGUAGGCCUCCGAGAUGUGAUCCCGCCGGCGACCCCGCAGUCCUUCAACGACGUCUACAUCGCCACCGAGCUCAUGGACACGGACCUCCACCACAUCAUCCGCUCCAACCAAGAACUCUCGGAAGAACACUGCCAGUACUUCCUGUACCAGCUGCUGCGCGGCCUCAAGUACAUCCACUCGGCGAACGUGAUCCACCGCGACCUCAAGCCGAGCAACCUGCUGCUGAACGCCAACUGCGACCUCAAGAUCUGCGACUUCGGCCUGGCGCGGCCGUCGUCCGAGAGCGACAUGAUGACGGAGUACGUGGUCACGCGGUGGUACCGGGCCCCGGAGCUGCUGCUCAACUCCACCGACUACUCCGCGGCCAUCGACGUCUGGUCCGUCGGCUGCAUCUUCAUGGAGCUCAUCAACCGCGCGCCGCUCUUCCCGGGGAGGGACCACAUGCACCAGAUGCGGCUCAUCACGGAGGUGAUCGGCACCCCCACCGACGACGACCUGGGCUUCAUCCGGAACGAGGACGCCAGGAGGUACAUGAGGCACCUGCCGCAGUUCCCUCGCCGGUCCUUCCCGGGACAGUUCCCCAAGGUGCAGCCCGCCGCGCUGGACCUCAUCGAGAGGAUGCUCACCUUCAACCCGCUGCAGAGGAUCACAGUUGAAGAGGCGCUGGAGCACCCAUACCUAGAGCGGCUUCACGACGUCGCCGACGAGCCCAUCUGCACGGACCCCUUCUCCUUCGACUUCGAACAGCACCCACUGACGGAAGACCAGAUGAAGCAGCUCAUAUUCAACGAAGCCCUGGAGUUGAACCCCAACUUCCGAUACUAG
rnacentral:rRNA from 1 species